rnacentral:pre_miRNA from 10 species
GCCGAUGUUGACUUAGCGGCUACGGCUGUUGGCAUAGACCGCGUCGGCCUUAGUGUCAAGCGGAACAAUUAAGGCACGCGGUGAAUGCCGACAGAAUAGCCAGUCCAUCAUCUGUGAAGAG